GAUCAUGGCUCAGGAUAAACGCUGGCGGCGUGCUAACACAUGCAAGUCGAACGGAGUACUCUCCCGAGACCGAGGAAGCUUGCUUCCAAAGAAUCAUUGAAGUACUUAGUGGCGGACGGGUGGGUAACGCGUGGGUAACCUGCCUCACACAGGGGGAUAACAGUUGGAAACGACUGUUAAUACCGCAUAAGCGCACAGUACCGCAUGGUACAGUGUGAAAAACUCCGGUGGUGUGAGAUGGACCCGCGUCUGAUUAGCUAGUUGGUGAGGUAACGGCCCACCAAGGCGACGAUCAGUAGCCGGCCUGAGAGGGUGUACGGCCACAUUGGAACUGAGAUACGGUCCAGACUCCUACGGGAGGCAGCAGUGGGGAAUAUUGGGCAAUGGACGGAAGUCUGAACCCCAGCGACGCCGCGUGAGGGAAGAAGGUCUUCGGAUUGUAAACCUUAGUCAACAGGGACGAAGCAAGUGACGGUACCUGUGGAGGAAGCCACGGCUAACUACGUGCCAGCCGCUGC
rnacentral:rRNA from 1 species